ensembl:lncRNA
AUUCCAGAGCCUCAGACGUCAUCACUCCAAAAAGAGACAAAGAAUUUGCUCUUGAGGGUGACAAUGUGACACUCUCCUGUAACUACAGCGGCUCUGUUCGUGGUGUUCACUGGUAUCGUCAUUAUGCAGGAUCACCACCACAGUUCCUCAUACUGGAAUAUUCAGAGGUAACAACUCUAGCUAAUCCACCCGUUCCAGGAAUAACCAUCAAUCACAGAAAAACAGAAAGCCAUGUGGAUCUGGAGAUCUCCUCUGCUGCUGUAUCAGACUCUGCUCUGUACUACUGUGCUCUGCAGCCCACACUGACAGGAAAGCAAACUGCACUGUACAAAAACCUCACUGUAUUUUGGGAAAGUAUUAAAAGCAAGGAUAUUUCUACUGAUAUUUUACUAUUCAAUGUACAUAAAAUAUCCAGCUAACCAAUAAAUAAUAAAAACUCAUUCUUCAUGCUUUUAUGUCAUAAUUUAAUCAAAUGUAUAACAUUUAAUAUCCUGCAAUUUAAAUGGAAUUGUAAGCAACAUAAAUAUGCUUUCUGCAAAUCUCAAUAAUUAUUGCUAUAGAAUCCUCAUUUCAAGAUUAUCCCCCUAAAAUGUCACUGAAAUAUGUUGUAACUUGUAAUUUAUCUGUAUCUAUGUAAUACUAUUCUUUAUUGAUUUUAUUAAAAAUGUGGGAUUGUGUUAUAAAUAACAGUCUUGUCUGUCAUAUAUUGUGUGAGAUGAGGGUUGAAUGUUGUCUGAGUAGGAGGAGUUUAGCACAUACAUUGUGAAAUGCAAUAAGACUGUCAACAUUUCACAAGCCUUAUUUGAUUAACAGAUGUUUCUAUGUGUUUCCUGUUCAAACCGGAUUAUUGUGCCAACAUGUUGAUUUAUUUAAUUGCAUUACUAUCAUCAGCUCAAGGUGCCAGAGGGGCAGAAGUCAUCACUCCAUACAGUGAUUAUCAGUUUGCUGAUGAGGGUGAGAGUGUGACACUCUCUUGUAGCUACACUGGUUCUGUUCAAGGUCUUCACUGGUAUCAGCAAUAUGCAGGUUCACCACCAAAAUUCCUCAUACUGGAUUAUUAUGGGGCAGUUACAAAAGCUGAUCCUCCAGUUGCUGGAGUCUCAAUCCAUCACAGAAAAUACAACAGUAGUGUGGAUCUGAAGAUCUCCUCUGCUGCUGUCACUGACUCUGCUCUGUACUAUUGUGCUCUGGACAGGGGCGUCGGAUUUGGGGUAAAACCAGUACUGAUUACCAGGGCCCAAAAGGAAGAGAGGGCCCUUGAAAAGUCUGGAAUAUAUUUUAUUUUACCUGGAUUUUUUCAUUUCCUAAUUAAAUUCAGAUGA